GUUGGGUGCAUCAAAAGUUU
rnacentral:piRNA from 1 species